GACGAACGCUGGCGGCGUGCUUAACACAUGCCAGUCGAACGAAGAGCGAUGGAAGCUUGCUUCUAUCAAUCUUAGUGGCGAACGGGUGAGUAACGCGUAAUCAACCUGCCCUUCAGAGGGGGACAACAGUUGGAAACGACUGCUAAUACCGCAUACGAUCUAAUCUCGGCAUCGAGGAUAGAUGAAAGGUGGCCUCUACAUGUAAGCUAUCACUGAAGGAGGGGAUUGCGUCUGAUUAGCUAGUUGGAGGGGUAACGGCCCACCAAGGCGAUGAUCAGUAGCCGGUCUGAGAGGAUGAACGGCCACAUUGGGACUGAGACACGGCCCAGACUCCUACGGGAGGCAGCAGUGGGGAAUCUUCCGCAAUGGACGAAAGUCUGACGGAGCAACGCCGCGUGAGUGAUGACGGCCUUCGGGUUGUAAAGCUCUGUUAAUCGGGACGAAAGGCCUUCUUGCGAAUAGUGAGAAGGAUUGACGGUACCGGAGUAGAAAGCCACGGCUAACUACGUG
rnacentral:rRNA from 1 species